rnacentral:lncRNA from 1 species
AUGGAGACGAGGCAGGAACCAGAGGCGAAGACAGACGUGGAGACGAGGCAGGAACCAGAGGCGAAGACAGACGUAGAGACGUCCUCCUUGGACCUCCGCGACGAGACACAGGAACCAGCGGCGUCCUCCUUGGACCACCGCGACGAGAAACAGGAACCAGCGGCGUCCUCCUUGGACCACCGCGACGAGAGACAGGAACCAGCAGCGUCCUCCUUGGACCACCACGACGAGAAACAGGAACCAGCGGCGUCCACCUUGGACCACCGCAACGAGACACAGGAACCAGCGACGUCCACCUUGGACCACCGCGACGAGACACAGGAACCAGCGGCGUCCACCUUGGACCACCGCGACGAGACACAGGAACCAGCGGCGUCCACCUUGGACCACCGCGACGAGACACAGGAACCAGUGGCAUCCACCUUGGACCACCGCAAAGAGACACAGGUGCAGAUGCAGCCGGAGCCGAGCCGCCAGGAACCGAUGCAGGUGCGGCCGGAGCCGAGCCGCCAGGAACCGAUGCAGGUGCGGCAGGAAUUGCGACGGGCGCGACCCCCUCCCGGAGGUCCGCCGGGACUGCGACGGGCGCGACCCCCUCCCGGAGGUCCGCCGGGACUGCGGCUGGCGCGACCUCCUCCUGGAGGUGCGCAGGAGCUGCAGCAGGCCGGCGGGCGUUGCGGCUCCGAGGGUGACAGGAACUGGAACGGCCGCAACAUGGCCGACAGGGACUGGGACAGGAACUGGAACGGCCGCAACAUGGCCGACAGGGACUGGGACAGGAACUGGAAUGGCCGCAACAUGGCCGACAGGAACAGGAACAGGGACUGGAACGGCCGCAACAUGGCCGACAGGAACAGGUACAGGGACUGGAACGGCCUCAACAUGGCCGACAGGAACAGGAACGGCUUCAACAUGGUCGACAGGAACAGGAACGGCUUCAACAUGGCCGACAGGAACAGGAACGACCUCUACUUGGCCGACAGGAACAGGAACGACCUCUACUUGGCCGACAGGAACAGGAGCGGCGUCCUUACUAGAGCCGGCGGCGCUGCUCUCAGGCUCCCCACUGGAGCCGGCGGCGCUGCUCUCAGGCUCCCCACUGGAGCCGGCGGCGCUGCUCUCAGGCUCCCCACUGGAGCCGGCGGCGCUGCUCUCAGGCUCUCCACUGGAGCCGGCGGCGCUGCUCUCAGGCUCCUCACUGGAGCCGGCGGCGCUGCUCUCAGGCUCCUCACUAGAGCCGGCAGCGACUGA